rnacentral:misc_RNA from 1 species
UUGAGAUAUGGGUGGGCACGC